UUUCCAAAUAGGACUGACUUGGUGGGGGUCACAGUAAGGAGGCCAGCUACAGGGUUGAGGGGACUUACCUGCCUAGCUCCCCUACUGGAGCAAGCAGAAAUAACUUUGAGGAGGCUGUAGUAGGAAAAGCCUGAAUCUGGGAAAGAAGCAGCAGAGAAAAGACUUUUUAAAGUGGCCGUUGUGAAGGAACGUGGAAGCUGAGGAAGAGCAAGAAUGAAGAGAGCUCCCCAUCCACCGGGAAACCCAGAGAAUUUCAGAGAUCUGAAACUGAGUAAUCUCUCACACAAGGGCAAUUGGGGCUGAGCCUGGGCCUGACCCUGAAUCCCAAGGGCAGGCUUUGGGAAUCUGAGGGGCAGCAGCUAACUGCCGGUGAGGAGGUGCUGUGUUCAUCCCUCAGUCAGGGGCAGAAGCUUUAUGUAACGAAGGGUUCUCUGAGCCAGCUCUGCAGCUGGUUAAGGCUCAGGCUUAAGGAUCUACAGGUAGAGGGUUGCCUUUUUUUCCUUCCAAAGGUAUGUGAUUGGGUAAAAGAGACAAUGCUACAUUUUCCUCAAAGAAAUAUCUGGCCUACAGAUCAAGAUGGACCUUCCAUCCUGGAAUGGAACUGCUACAGGGAACGACUGGGCAUGCCUCACCUCCUGGAGCCAUGCUGGUGGCCUGCAUGUAUCAUGGGAAUUUCUCAGAAUGGCCUAGCCUUGGCAACGGGUUGAGACAGGGGAGUUUGAAGCUUGUUUUAGGAUUCUCCCUUCGCCAAAAACCUUUCUAGCCACCCACCCUGUGCUGCAUUCUUCUGGGACUUCUCUAUCAGUAUUUUGCCUUCCCAACUAAGGUUGGUUGGGAGUCAAUGAAAAAAUAUUUAUUGAGCCUACUAUUUGUCCAGCAAGCAUAAAUAGUCCAUUCAUGUUACUCCUUAUGCCUCGGCUGCCAGAAAAACAAAGGUCAAAUUUAUUGCUAAAAUAGAAGCAGAACAUUCUCCAUGUCUGAAACCAUCAUUCCUUCUGGUUCUUUCAGAUGGAUUCCAUUUAAACUGAUCCCAGACUGUAUCCUUCUUUAGAGGCACCUUGAAUGAUAUCAAAAUUGUGGCAUGUGGGAUGCUGCCUCAGCGUGGUCUGAUGAGCAGUGCCAUGUCCACACCCAGGAUUCAAACUAACGAAACACUGGGCCGCCUGCAGCAGAGCGCACAAAUUUAACCACUCGGCCACGGGGCCAGCCCCUGUUUCCAGUGGCCCCGGCUCUGUCCAUUACCAGGAAGAGGACAUUGGCUACAGCUCAUCCCUUUACAGAAGGAGGCUGGAGGCAUAAAGAAGAUAAGCGUCUGUCCAAGGUCACCGAGCAAGUUAGGGGCACACGGGAAGAGGAUUAGACCCCCUGAUUUGUAAUCUUGUUCUCCUUCCACUGCACUUCACUUUUUGAAACCGAUUGUCAAUGCGCUAUAGCAGGCUUAAGUCCAAAUUAACGGAAUCUUCAAUGGAUAGAAUUCUUCAGGUAUUAUCACUAUUACUCAUUUACUAGAUUUUUACAGCUAUCUUUCUAAAAACUUCAAGACA
rnacentral:lncRNA from 1 species